rnacentral:piRNA from 1 species
UGAAAGUGCCUUGUUCUUAAUAUCUCUUUU